UGGGGUGAAUGCAGGCUUUUCCUGAAGCCUGGAGAGCAAGAGGGGUCGGUGCGCACCGACUCCUCUCGCUCUCCAGGCUUCAGGAAGCUCUGCGCAACCCUA